rnacentral:rRNA from 2 species
CCCAGUGACUACGGGUUCAACGGCCGCGGUAUUUUGACCGUGCAAAGGUAGCGCAAUCACUUGUCUUUUAAAUAAAGACCUGUAUGAAUGGCUAGACGAGGGCUUAGCUGUCUCCCCCUUCCAGUCAGUGAAAUUGAUCUAUCCGUGCAGAAGCGGAUAUACUCCUACAAGACGAGAAGACCCUUUGGAGCUUAAGGUACAAAGAUUAAUCAUGUUAAACAACUUGAUAAAGAGAUAAGAACUUAAUGAGACAUAAUCUUUUACCUUCGGUUGGGGCGACCACGGAGGAAAAACAAGCCUCCAAGAGGAACGGGUAUUUACCCUAAAGCUUAGAGAGACCCCUCUACGCCGCAGAACAUCUGACCAGUAAUGAUCCGGCAUAAAGCCGAUCAACGGACCAAGUUACCCUAGGGAUAACAGCGCAAUCCUCUCCCAGAGUCCAUAUCGACGAGGGGGUUUACGACCUCGAUGUUGGAUCAGGACAUCCUAAUGGUGCAGCCGCUAUUAAGGGUUCGUUUGUUCAACGAUUAAAGUCCU